UACGUAGGGGGCAAGCGUUGUCCGGAUUUAUUGGGCGUAAAGCGCACGCAGGCGGUCUCUUAAGUUUUGAGUGACAGGUGGUGGCUCAACUACCACAGGCCUUGGAAAACUGGGAGACUUGAGGACUUCAGAGGGAUGCGGAAUUCCAGGUGGAGCGGUGAAAUGCGUAGAUAUCUGGAGGAACACCGGUGGCGAAGGCGGCAUCCUGGACCGAGAUUGACGCUGAGGCGCGAAAGCCAGGGGAGCAAACGGG
rnacentral:rRNA from 1 species